rnacentral:rRNA from 1 species
AGUGAACGCUGGCGGUAGGCCUAACACAUGCAAGUCGAACGGCAGCACAGGAGAGCUUGCUCUCUGGGUGGCGAGUGGCGGACGGGUGAGGAAUACAUCGGAAUCUACCUUUUCGUGGGGGAUAACGUAGGGAAACUUACGCUAAUACCGCAUACGACCUUCGGGUGAAAGCAGGGGACCUUCGGGCCUUGCGCGGAUAGAUGAGCCGAUGUCGGAUUAGCUAGUUGGCGGGGUAAAGGCGCACCAAGGCGACGAUCCGUAGAAGGUCUGAGAAGAUGAUCAGCCACACUUGAACUGAGACACGGUCCAGACUCCUACGGGAGGCAGCAGUGGGGAAUAUUGGACAAUGGGCGCAAGCCUGAUCCAGCCAUACCGCGUGGGUGAAGAAGGCCUUCGGGUUGUAAAGCCCUUUUGUUGGGAAAGAAAAGCAACCAGUUAAUACCUGGUUGUUCUGACGGUACCCAAAGAAUAAGCACCGGCUAACUUCGUGCCAGCCGCCGCCGUAA